rnacentral:rRNA from 1 species
GGGGAAUCUUGGACAAUGGGGGCAACCCUGAUCCAGCGAUGCCGCGUGAGUGAAGAAGGCCUUCGGGUCGUAAAGCUCUUUAGGCUGGGAAGAAGGGUAGUUGAGGAAAUGCAAUUACUUUGACUGUACCAGCAGAAUAAGCACCGGCAAACUCUGUGCCAGCAGCCGCGGUAAUACAGAGGGUGCGAGAGUUAAUCGGAGUAACUGGGCGUAAAGGGUGCGUAGGCGGUUUAGCGAGUGUGAUGUGA